rnacentral:rRNA from 1 species
UACGUAGGGACCAAGCGUUGUCCGGAAUCAUUGGGCGUAAAGAGCGUGUAGGCGGCUUGUUAAGUCUUGCGUGAAAUCUCGGGGCUCAACCCCGAGCGGUCGUGAGAAACUGGCAGGCUAGAGUGCGGGAGAGGAGAGUGGAAUUCCUGGUGUAGCGGUGAAAUGCGCAGAUAUCAGGAAGAACACCCGUGGCGAAGGCGGCUCUCUGGAACGCAACUGACGCUGAGACGCGAAAAGCGUGGGGGAGCAAACAGG